GUGAUCCCGCACUAUAUAGUUUUUUAGUAUUUAGGGAUUAUGAUGGGAAUUCGGACAUAGCCUAAAAGUAGUUUGUCUAUUAAUCCUCACUACUUAACUGAUACCAUUCUAACAUUUUCUUAAGGUUUAAUUUUUCAAAGAGGUGUAAACCAAGAAAUCCCCAAAACCAGUACAUCUGAAAUCCCAAUGAAUACAUUUGAAACGUAGAAGAUUCGCGUUGUUUUGAUGAAGUUUUCUCAUUUCCAGAGUUCUGUGGCAUCUCCAGGACCUAUGAGGAAAGUUUUCCAUUAUUCCAAACAUUCUAUGAAAAAAAGCAAUAAAAACAGAAGGACCUCUGCUGCCGCUGCUUAGCAACAGGUUGUGUGUCUUUACAAAAUAACAGCUUUGACCUUAAACUUUUAGCUUUGAACACUUGCAGUCAGCCGGAUUUGGCCAUUUUGGACGUGACAUAGCAGUUUCCGGACAAACAGCACAGGUUGGCCAGCCGAGUGUGACCCACAGCGGGGCCGUAAUGGGCCGGACAACCAGCCACACCGUCCCAUUUUUGGGGUGGCCGAGCGGACACAGUUGUUUUACAGGCAAAGAGGAUCGCUGUUCUUACCCCUUGUGCCAGACCCAUCAGAUCCUGCAAAACCGACUCCAGCUCCUGCGUGGGAGAGUCAGGAUCAAGGAAAGCCUGCACAGGAGGUGGCAGAUCGCUGCAGUGAAAAACACAGCAAACAAACUCAGACGUCAUCCACUCAUCCCUAAAACCAACAUUCAAAAGGACGAGUUCGCUGUUGAGACGCGCCCCAAAGAAUUCUGACCUUAGUCGCAGAUUUUCUUUAAACAAACAAAAAAAAUCUGUCUGAAAAAUUACCAAGAAUUAUUAUUUUAAGAAAAAGCUUCUAGUCACAGAGACAAGUUUCCUCAAACUAAGAUUAUUGGAGUUUUGGGAAAAAUGUGUCAUACACUCGCUCACAAGUGAGUUUACUAAUAUAUACAUCGAUAAUACUACAACAUCUAGGGGAAACACUUAUAAAACAAAUUUACAUUCUUUGUACAUUUUAUACAAAAGCCUAUUUUUAAAGUCAGCUUUAUUGAAAUAAUGGGAACUAGUUAAACUUAAAACAGCACUCAUUAUGCUUAAAGCCAGAGAUAACUUACUUCUAGACAGCAAACAUCCAACAAAUGUUCAAAGACAGAAAAUGGGGGGGGUUACGAUGUAAGAAAUCAGUUGAACUUCCAAAUGCAGUGCAUUCCUACUACAAAAAAGAAAAUGUUAUCUUAUUAAGUUGUGGUGUGGAUUUAUGGAACAAAUUAGAUGAAGGUUUCAAAAAACAAACCCAAAGUUU